AAUGAUGAAAAUAUGACACAAAGGUUUGCAUACUACAUACCGGUAAAGCAAACAUUAAGUAGCUUACUGCAGUCAGAAUUCUGGAAGAAUUCAAUGUCACAAACGCCUUGUGAAACAGAAUCAGAUGUUUUCAGUGACAUAAAUGAUGGCAAAAGCUUAAAGUCCAACCAGUUUUUCACUGAAAACCCAGAAUGCUUGAAACUAAUUCUUUACCAGGAUGCUUUUGAAAUUGUCAAUCCCCUUGGCUCUGCUAAAAAAAGCACAAAGUUUUAGCAGUUUAUCUAUCUGUGGCUAAUUUACCUGCUUAUCUGCGAUCCAAUACUGAUCACAUGUCCCUUGUCUUACUGUGUGUAGAGAAUGACUUAAAACAGUUUGGAUAUGCUAAAGUUUUCUCUGAGUUACUACAGGAUUUAAAAGAUUUGGAAGAAAACGGAAGAACUGUAGAUGGUAAAACGAUCAAAGGAGGUUUGUUUUGUAUUGCCGGUGACAAUUUGGGUUCGCACAGCAUAGGGGGGUUUACAGAAAAUUUCAGUCGUUCUCAGUACUUUUGCAGGUACUGCGAAAUAACCAGAAAUGAGUUUCAAAAUGAUGACCCCAAUGUUUGUGGUCCACAGCGUACCCCUGACACUUACGAUUCUGCUGUUUGUGAUCUACAAACUGAAGACAUUCAGGACUAUAAAGGCAUAAAGAAAUGACUGACUCAGAAAAGACAUUUCUACACACCACCAUCACUGACAUCUUGCCUGACCUUCCAGAGGUGACAAAACAUAUUUUAGAAGAGACCUAGCAGUCUCUUGGUGUGGAGACAAGGGAUGACUUUAGGUUUAUUGAAGAAGCUGAUUUGCUGUCAGCAUUGAGGCCAGUUCAAGCCCGCAAAGUCCUUGCUGCUUUGAAACUGAGGUGUCUGACUCCUGAAAGCAGCAGCUCAUCUGGUGAUGCCUUGCCAGGGCCUUCAACAAGUUUUUGUUCAUUUUCACCCCAAAGUUCACAAUCAACCUCUCCCAUCAGCUCCCAAAACCCUAAUAUAGACUGGAUGGACACCUUUCUGAUUCCAUGGGAUAAGUUACCAGAGGAACUGAUACAAAUAUUUGAAAGAGGAAACCGACCAAGUCCACGUAUGAGAAGAGAGAUGGUCCGGAUUGUGGUUCGGGAGAUGAUACAAAAAAAUCGUUGCCCAAGUACGAAGCUUUCUAAUGAAGUUGCCAAGAAGAUGGUAGCAAAAUAUCCUAAAUCUCUGCAAGACGUAAU